rnacentral:rRNA from 1 species
UACAGAGGGGGCGAGCGUUGUUCGGAUUCACUGGGCGUAAAGGGUGCGUAGGUGGUCGGGUAAGUCUGAUGUGAAAUCUCUGGGCUCAACCCAGAAAUGGCAUUGGAUACUAUUCGGCUAGAGGAGUGGAGGGGGGACUGGAAUACUUGGUGUAGCAGUGAAAUGCGUAGAUAUCAAGUGGAACACCAGUGGCGAAGGCGAGUCCCUGGACACUUCCUGACACUGAGGCACGAAAGCUAGGGGAGCAAACAGG